rnacentral:rRNA from 1 species
GAUGAACGCUGGCGGCGUGCCUAAUACAUGCAAGUCGAGCGAACAGACGAGGAGCUUGCUCCUCUGACGUUAGCGGCGGACGGGUGAGUAACACGUGGAGAACCUACCUAUAAGACUGGGAUAACUUCGGGAAACCGGAGCUAAUACCGGAGAAUAUAUUGAACCGCAUGGUUCAAUAGUGAAAGACGGUUUUGCUGUCACUUAUAGAUGGAUCCGCGCCGCAUUAGCUAGUUGGUAAGGUAACGGCUUACCAAGGCAACGAUGCGUAGCCGACCUGAGAGGGUGAUCGGCCACACUGGAACUGAGACACGGUCCAGACUCCUACGGGAGGCAGCAGUAGGGAAUCUUCCGCAAUGGGCGAAAGCCUGACGGAGCAACGCCGCGUGAGUGAUGAAGGUCUUCGGAUCGUAAAACUCUGUUAUUAGGGAAGAACAAAUGUGUAAGUAACUAUGCACGUCUUGACGGUACCUAAUCAGAAAGCCACGGCUAACUACGUG